rnacentral:rRNA from 1 species
AUGCACGCUGGCGGCGUGCCUCAUCCCUGCAAGUCGCGCGCACAGACGAGGAGCUUGCUCCUCUGACGUUAGCGGCGGACGGGUGAGUAACACGUGGAUAACCUACCUAUAAGACUGGGAUAACUUCGGGAAACCGGAGCUAAUACCGGAUAAUAUAUUGAACCGCAUGGUUCAAUAGUGAAAGACGGUUUUGCUGUCACUUAUAGAUGGAUCCGCGCCGCAUUAGCUAGUUGGUAAGGUAACGGCUUACCAAGGCAACGAUGCGUAGCCGACCUGAGAGGGUGAUCGGCCACACUGGAACUGAGACACGGUCCAGACUCUUACGGGAGGCAGCAGUAGGGAAUCUUCCGCAAUGGGCGAAAGCCUGACGGAGCAACGCCGCGUGAGUGAUGAAGGUCUUCGGAUCGUAAAACUCUGUUAUUAGGGAAGAACAAAUGUGUAAGUAACUAUGCACGUCUUGACGGUACCUAAUCAGAAAGCCACGGCUAACUACGUG